AGAAGCUUAGGAUUACUUUAAACCGAAGGCCUUCAAAGCCUUAAACAAGAGUCAGAACCUCUUAGCUUCUG
rnacentral:tRNA from 1 species